rnacentral:miRNA from 1 species
UGAGAGGGGAGGAUGGGAGGGAGGAAUAACAAAAGUGAAAACAAAAACUUGAAAGUGAAAACAAUUUCAAAUAGAUUUCAAGUUUUUGUUUUUGUUUUCACCUUUGUUACUCCUCCCUUCCAUCCUCCCCUCUCAUCUUCCCUCUC